UACGAAGGGUGCAAGCGUUACUCGGAAUUACUGGGCGUAAAGCGUGCGUAGGUGGUGAGUUAAGUCUGUCGUGAAAGCCCCGGGCUCAACCUGGGAAUGGCGAUGGAUACUGGCUCGCUAGAGUGCGGUAGAGGAGAGUGGAAUUCCCGGUGUAGCAGUGAAAUGCGUAGAGAUCGGGAGGAACACCGGUGGCGAAGGCGGCGAUCUGGGUAGAUACUGACGCUGAGGUGCGAAAGCGUGGGGAGCAAACAGG
rnacentral:rRNA from 1 species